CCUACGGGAGGCAGCAGUGGGGAAUCUUGCGCAAUGGGCGAAAGCCUGACGCAGCCAUGCCGCGUGAAUGAUGAAGGUCUUAGGAUUGUAAAAUUCUUUCAGUAGGGACGAUAAUGACGGUACCUACAGAAGAAGCCCCGGCUAACUUCGUGCCAGCAGCCGCGGUAAUACGAAGGGGGCUAGCGUUGCUCGGAAUUACUGGGCGUAAAGGGAGCGUAGGCGGACAUUUAAGUCAGGGGUGAAAUCCCAGAGCUCAACUCUGGAACUGCCUUUGAUACUGGGUGUCUUGAGUGUGAGAGAGGUAUGUGGAACUCCGAGUGUAGAGGUGAAAUUCGUAGAUAUUCGGAAGAACACCAGUGGCGAAGGCGACAUACUGGCUCAUUACUGACGCUGAGGCUCGAAAGCGUGGGGAGCAAACAGGAUUAGAUACCCUGGUAGUCCACGCCGUAAACGAUGAUUGCUAGUUGUCGGGAUGUUUACAUCUCGGUGACGCAGCUAACGCAUUAAGCAANCNCNGGAGUAGUCGCAGAUAAACUACAAGAAGUAGAGNGNGAGACGNGCGAGACGACACGAGGAGAGG
rnacentral:rRNA from 1 species